rnacentral:lncRNA from 1 species
GGCCCUGGUACUGGUGAACGCUGCUGUGACUCAGUUGAAGCCUUGAUUGGCCACAUUUCAGUACUACGCCGAGGUGGAGUUGGUUCCUCCAAACCCUGCUGAGAUCCCUAGAGUUAUUCAGGGCCUGGAAAAAAAAGUCAAUAGCGCUCAAACUGGUAGCUUCAAACAGCUCACAGUCAAGGAAGCUGUGUUGAAUGUUUCAGAGGUCACUGGGGUGUGGAUGUGGUUUUAUGUCACAGAGAUCAUAGGUGAGUGUGGCAUCACUGGCUACAAUGUU